UGUAAACCUAUUAAAAGGUAACAUGAAGACCUGCAGCGUCAACACAGACUCUGCUCUGGAUAAAGCACACCUGAACCAGAUCCACUAAUCAAGCCUUAAUCACUGGCACCAGAAAGGAAGUGCUUUAAAA